GGUGAGAUUGCCGAGCGGUCAAAGGGGCUGGUUUUAGGCACCAGACCCUUCCGGGGCCUGGGUUCGAAUCCCACUCUUAUCA
rfam:Angiostrongylus costaricensis strain Costa Rica genome assembly, scaffold: ACOC_scaffold0000936